AUUGAACGCUGGCGGCAGGCCUAACACAUGCACGUCGAACGAGUGGCGGACGGGUGAGUAAUGUCUGGGAAACUGCCCGAUGGAGGGGGAUAACUACUGGAAACGGUAGCUAAAACCGCAUACCAUCGGAUGUGCCCAGAUGGGAUUAGCUAGUCGGGGGGGUAACGGCUCACCUAGGCGAACAUCCCUAGCUGGUCUGAGAGGAUGACCAGCCACACUGUAACUGAGACACGGUCCAGACUCGGACGUGAGGCAGAAGUGGGGAAGAUUGCCCAAUGGGCGCAAGCCUGAUGCAGCCAUGCCGCGUGUAUGAAGAAGGCUUUCGGGUUGUAAAGUACUUUCAGCGAGGAGGCGUUACUCGCAGAAGAAGCACCGGCUAACUCCGUGCCAGCAGCCGCGGUAAUAC
rnacentral:rRNA from 1 species